GCCUGGGAUAGCUAAAUUGGUAGAGCACGAGACUCUUAAUCUCAGGGUUGUGGGUUUGAGCCCCCGUUGGGCA